rnacentral:rRNA from 1 species
AUUGAACGCUGGCGGCAUGCCUAACACAUACAAGUCGAACGGCAGCAUGACCUAGCUUGCUAGGUUGAUGGCGAGUGGCGCACGGGUGAGUAAUGCAUAGGAAUAUACCUUAAAGUGGGGGAUAACCUGGGGAAACUCAGGCUAAUACCGCAUGAGCUCUGAGGAGGAAAGCUGGGGACCAUAAGGCCUGGCGCUUUAAGAUUAGCCUAUGUCCGAUUAGUUAGUUGGUGGGGUAAAGGCUUACCAAGGCGACGAUCGGUAGCUGGUCUGAGAGGAUGAUCAGCCACACUGGGACUGAGACACGGCCCAGACUCCUACGGGAGGCAGCAGUGGGGAAUAUUGGACAAUGGGGGCAACCCUGAUCCAGCGAUGCCGCGUGUGUGAAGAAGGCCUGCGGGUUGUAAAGCACUUUCAGUGGGGAGGAGGGUUUGUUGGUUAAGAGCUGAGAAACUGGACGUUACCCACAGAAGAAGCACCGGCUAACUCCGUGCCAGCAGCCGCUGUAA